rnacentral:tRNA from 1 species
GUGGGUAUAGCUCAGUGUAGAGUGCAUGCUUAGCAUGCACGAGGUCCUGGGUUCCAUCCCCAGUACUUCCA